GUUCUGGAGACUGGACGUCUGAGAUGAAGGUUGAGGCCCUGGCUUUUCCAUCAGAAGCACAUGAGACCCGCUUGGGAACGUCACCCUGGGGUGACAGCCACUCCUAUAG
rnacentral:lncRNA from 1 species